rnacentral:lncRNA from 1 species
ACAAGGAACCCAUGUUUUCACAUGGAAGCAACUGCACCUGCAUCUAGCAACGCUAACACCAUGGAUAAGCAAGCGGUAACAUAGCCAAUCAAUGGUUUGCUAGGUCGAACAGGUUGAAGGCUAUCAUGACAUUGUUGAGAGGCUGGUAUUUAACAUGUGGUAGGCAACGAGACAUAAUCGAUAGAAGUGGUAAUACUAGCAUUGCAAUGAUAGUAAUGGUAUCUGGGAAAUGAUCAUCUUGCCUGAGAUCCUGCUUGGAAGAAGAAUGCCUCCGUGAAGUAGACGAACCGACGUAGUCGAACGGGUCCUCACAAUCCG